rnacentral:misc_RNA from 1 species
GAUGAAGAACGCAUCGAAAUGCGAUAAGUAAUGUGAAUUGCAGAAUUCAGUGAAUCAUCGAAUCUUUGAACGCACAUUGCGCCCGUCAGUAUUCUGGCGGGCAUGCCUGUUCGAGCGUCAUUACGCCCCUCAAGUCCCCUGUGGACUUGGUGUUGGGGAUCGGCGAGGCUGGUUUUCCAGCACAGCCGUCCCUUAAAUUAAUUGGCGGUCUCGCCGUGGCCCUCCUCUGCGCAGUAGUAAAACACUCGCAACAGGAGCCCGGCGCGGUCCACUGCCGUAAAACCCCCCAACUUUUUAUAGUUGACCUCGAAUCAGGUAGGACUACCCGCUGAACUUAAGCAUAUCAAUAAGCGGAGGA